GACGAACGCUGGCGGCGUGCUUAACACAUGCAAGUCGAACGGAAAGGCCCUGCUUUUGUGGGGUGCUCGAGUGGCGAACGGGUGAGUAACACGUGAGUAACCUGCCCUUGACUUUGGGAUAACUUCAGGAAACUGGGGCUAAUACCGGAUAGGAGCUCCUGCUGCAUGGUGGGGGUUGGAAAGUUUCGGCGGUUGGGGAUGGACUCGCGGCUUAUCAGCGUGUUGGUGGGGUAGUGGCUUACCAAGGCUUUGACGGGUAGCCGGCCUGAGAGGGUGACCGGCCACAUUGGGACUGAGAUACGGCCCAGACUCCUACGGGAGGCAGCAGUGGGGAAUAUUGCACAAUGGGCGGAAGCCUGAUGCAGCAACGCCGCGUGAGGGAUGACGGCCUUCGGGUUGUAAGCCGCUUUCGCCUGUGACGAAGCGUGAGUGGCGGUAAUGGGUAAAGAAGCACCGGCUAACUCCGUG
rnacentral:rRNA from 1 species